CAUAAAAUUAAUUACACAACGAUUUUUCUUUUCAUUUGACUAACAGAUAAAUCAUAAAAGUGUAAAAUUGUGAGGACAUGAUGUACCAGGUAUUCAGCCUAUAUCUCAAUUCUUAACACAACUUUCUGUAAUUUGCUUGGUGAAUCUGGAUCUAGGUCUCUACAAACUGCAUUUCUUCUUUGCAAAGUGCUUCUUAGCCCAAAAUAUCAACAGGAUGCCCUUGAGGCACGUUGGGUUCUGUUUGCUUACUGUCUCUCAGAGUGCUUGAGAGAACAGCCUUCUCCCACCUCAGAAAGGGUGGUCUGAUAGCUCCAGUUUCUCUAACUCCUUCUCACACUUCCAGGUCAACUUCAGGGUGUUGUGUCGCAACCUCUCCUGUGAGGUCUGAUCCAUCUUCUGAGCACCCAUCCUCUGAGCAAAGGGAACAGCUCAGCAGUGACAAAUGCCACCUUCUCAGAGGUCAAGGUUCCAGCUCUGUAGGGUUGCAACUCCCUAACAGCUUUCUUUGGUUCUCCUGGCAUGAUGAAAAAAGAAAAAGAAAAAAUAAGUGCUUCAGGAGCCAAAAAUCAGACACAUUCUCAUAAUUUUAUGACACUGAUGAAACUCAGAAAGCUUACAUAAACUGAUCAGAUGUCUUACUUUGUAGGAGAUAAGGCUAAGAUCUGGGUCUAGGCGGACUGAUUUUCAAGCUCAGACUUCUAAGCACUACACUAUCCUAUCUUAAAGUUAAUUAAGUACAGGAAACAAUAUUUUAGAGAAUUUAUUUCUCUUUACUCAUUUGUUUGUUUCAAAAUAAAUUUUAAAUAAAUGUUGAUAUCCACCCUGAUUAUAAAGUUUCCAAAUUCUGGUGAAUGUUUUCUUGGGCUAUUAUUUGCUAACCCUCUUCCCACCUUGGUACCCUGCCCUUAUUUCUAGCCUGGUUUCUUGCAACAUUGUCCUACUUUGAGCCCUCUGAGAGCAUCAGUGAACCUGUCCUCCACAAGCCUAACAAGGGACCCUAUUUAGCUUUGAUUUGUUCCCGAUUUAAAAAUGUUUUAGGUUUGAAAACUUCAAUUAUGUCAUGAAUGGGGAAACCUCUCUUAGGACUAGAAGGGAAGAAAAUAUAGUGAUUUUAAUUUUUUUUUUUUACCCCUUGAAAGAAAAGAGAAAGAAUAAGAUUAUAUUUCAAUUAAGG
rnacentral:lncRNA from 1 species